CGACAUCCUCUCGUCGUCCUUGUCGCGUAAAUUCCCCAGCCAAGCAGUGUACCAUCGUAGCUCGCAGUUGCAGAUCAGAGGGUUGUCUGUGGAAAAAGUGCAAGUGGAAAAUGUUUCAGAUAAAUGGCGAGUCCGCACGAGUGACGCGGUCUCCAGAUUUUUGCCAUAGCGAAGGAUAUUCCAGACACGUUUCACUCGCGUGUGAAACGAUACAUCGGAUUGCAAAAAAAAAAAAAAAAAAAAGAAAAAAAAGAAAGAAAAAAGAAA